UACGGAGGAUGCGAGCGUUAUCCGGAUUUAUUGGGUUUAAAGGGUGCGUAGGCGGGCUUUUAAGUCAGCGGUAAAAAUUCGGGGCUCAACCCCGUCCGGCCGUUGAAACUGGAAGACUUGAGUGUGUUUGAGGUAGGCGGAAUGCGUGGUGUAGCGGUGAAAUGCAUAGAUAUCGCGCAGAACUCCGAUUGCGAAGGCAGCAUGCCGGCUCCACACUGACGCUGAGGCACGAAAGCGUGGGUAUCGAACAGG
rnacentral:rRNA from 1 species